AGUGAACGCUGGCGGUAGGCCUAACACAUGCAAGUCGAACGGCAGCACAGGAGAGCUUGCUCUCUGGGUGGCGAGUGGUGGACGGGUGAGGAAUACAUCGGAAUCUACUUUUUCGUGGGGGAUAACGUAGGGAAACUUACGCUAAUACCGCAUACGACCUACGGGUGAAAGCAGGGGAUCUUCGGACCUUGCGCGAUUGAAUGAGCCGAUGUCGGAUUAGCUAGUUGGCGGGGUAAAGGCCCACCAAGGCGACGAUCCGUAGCUGGUCUGAGAGGAUGAUCAGCCACACUGGAACUGAGACACGGUCCAGACUCCUACGGGAGGCAGCAGUGGGGAAUAUUGGACAGUGGGCGCAAGCCUGAUCCAGCGAUACCGCGUGGGUGAAGAAGGCCUUCGGGUUGUAAAGCCCUUUUGUUGGGAAAGAAAUCCAGCUGGUUAAUACCCGGUUGGGAUGACGGUACCCAAAGAAUAAGCACCGGCUAACUUCGUGCCAGCCGCCGCCGUAA
rnacentral:rRNA from 1 species